rnacentral:rRNA from 1 species
UAUUGGACAAUGGGGGCAACCCUGAUCCAGCCAUGCCGCGUGUGUGAAGAAGGUCUUCGGAUUGUAAAGCCCUUUCAGUUGGGAGGAAGGGCUUUAGGUUAAUACCCUGAUGUUUUGACGUUACCACCAGAUUAAGCCACGGCUAACUCGUUGUCAGCAGCCGCGGUAAGACAGAGGGUGCAAGCGUUAAUCGGAAUUACUGGGCGUAAAGCGCGCGUAGGUGGUUCAGUAAGAUGGGUGUGAAAUCCCCGGGCUUAACCUGGGAACUGCUUUCAUAACUGCUGAGCUAGAGUACGGUAGAGGGUAGUGGAAUUUCCUGUGUAGCGGUGAAAUGCGUAGAUAUAGGAAGGAACACCAGUGGCGAAGGCGACUACCUGGACUGAUACUGACACUGAGGUGCGAAAGCGUGGGGAGCAAAC